rnacentral:rRNA from 1 species
GAUGAACGCUGGCGGCGUGCCUAUACAUGCAAGUCGAGCGAAUGGAUUAAGAGCUUGCUCUUAUGAAGUUAGCGGCGGACGGGUGAGUAACACGUGGGUAACCUGCCCAUAAGACUGGGAUAACUCCGGGAAACCGGGGCUAAUACCGGAUAACAUUUUGAACCGCAUGGUUCGAAAUUGAAAGGCGGCUUCGGCUGUCACUUAUGGAUGGACCCGCGUCGCAUUAGCUAGUUGGUGAGGUAACGGCUCACCAAGGCAACGAUGCGUAGCCGAACUGAGAGGGUGAGCGGCCACACUGGGACUGAGACACGGACCAGAAUCCUACGGGAGGCAGCAGGAGGGAAUCUUCCGCAAUGGACGAAAGUCUGACGGAGCAACGCCGCGUGAGUGAUGAAGGCUUUCGGGUCGUAAAACUCUGUUGUUAGGGAAGAACAAGUGCUAGUUGAAUAAGCUGGCACCUUGACGGUACCUAACCAGAAAGCCACGGCUAACUACGUGCCAGCCGCCGCGGUAA